rnacentral:tRNA from 1 species
GGAGAGGUGGCAGAGUGGCUGAAUGCACCUGACUCGAAAUCAGACGUACUCGCAAGGGUACCGGGGGUUCAAAUCCCUCCCUCUCCGCCA